AACAAUUGCCACGGCAACAGGAUUCAGAGCCCACCCUGAUCAGAGCUGCAUUUCAGACAAAUAAGAAGGUGAAUAAAACUUCAUGCCUGGAACCUAUUACCGAUGAGCACAGGAUGUGGAAGCCAGAAGAUCUAAAAGCGAUACUGACAAGAAAGACUGGAAAAGUCACAGCUUGGCCAACUUGUUUGUCAAUGAUUCGCUUGAGGAGAAUAGGACCUCCCUUAGUCUUCACUAUCCAAAGGGUAGAAGCAGCUUUCCUCUGUCUGAAAGGAAAAGUUACUGAAGCAAAUCUUACAGUGCUGUCUUGGCAGGGCACCAAGUAGGCAACAGUUGGAGAGCGUUCCCUGAUCCAGCCAGGCUAUGUGACACACACAUAAAACGUUACACAGAACAGGCUGACAAGAGGUGCGUGCACAACGCGCUAGAAUAAAGCUGUAAAAUGUAAAACA